UCUAACUCUUUCGUCCCUAGGGUAGAACCGCCCCUCUCCACAGCGACACAGGUCACAGGGAGGCGCACGCCUCUGCGCCGCGGAGGCAACGCGCCGGUACCGGAAUAAGCUCGUCGACGUAGAGCAAGCCGCCUCACCCUGCGGCCUCCCGCAUCCUCCUUUCGCACCUGUUUGCAAGUCGUCCAGCCGCCGCAACGGGGCAAACCGCCGGCCGCCGGAACGCCGCGAUGCUGCGUGAGGUGCUCGCAGCCGGGGAGGGUCCAGAUCUCGCGGAGCACGCCGUCCCCUACCUCCUUCACCAGUAGCAGUCCUCCGUGCCGGCAUCUCCACCUCAGACUCUUCUCCCAUCUGCCGAGCUGAGGGGUCAUGUACGAGUCUGAAGCUGAAGAACUGAAGUUCGUUUUAGUGAGUGGUUUGCUGCUGGGUUUUCAUGUCUAUAUGAAGGAAGGGCUUCUGGUAUUAGAGAAUGGUACUUUGGUGAUCUCUGUGUUAUCACCUUGAGGAUUGCAAGCCUCGUAGCUAGGGGCUUUGGUUCUCACAUGCAGCUUCGCAACAUUGUUUCUGAUCAUGUGUGUGAGUGUGUCGACAUCUCGCUCUCUAGCUCUUAAAUGUCUUUGCUGCUAUGGUUUUUCCAUCGCCAGUUCAAUUCGAGUGUUUGAUGGCCAA